rnacentral:rRNA from 1 species
CGUAGGGCAAGCGUUGUCCGGAUUCAUUGGGCGUAAAGCGCGUGUAGGCGGCCAGGUAGGUCGGAUGUGAAAACUGGAGGCUCAACCUCCAGCUGUCAUCUGAAACCAUCUGGCUAGAGUCCGGAAGAGGAGAGUGGAAUUCCUGGUGUAGCGGUGAAAUGCGCAGAUAUCAGGAAGAACACCUAUGGCGAAGGCAGCUCUCUGGGACGGUACUGACGCUGAGACGCGAAAGCGUGGGAGCGAACAGGAUU